UUGCUGAGUUCCCCCUGACAGAAGGAUAGUGAUAGCUUUUGAGUGCUGGUAGAUGCUUUUAAUAGAUAGCCUUGAGUGUGUCCUUGUUGCACCAGUAGGCCUUGCCAAAGUCCCCAUAUUCCAGGAGAUAUGCCUAUUGAAGUUUAAAAUGAUCUCCAUAAUCCUUUGUUGUCUUGAGGCUCUCCCCUGCAGGAACUCCAGGAACUCCUGGUGCCGCCUGGGCCGAUGGAUUGGACGCCCCAGCCCCUCCGUUCCUGCCCAGCCACUGGGUCCGUGUCCAGUGGUGGCACUGCCAGCCCUGCAGUGGGAUGUAACCUGGAAAAUGCACAGAGCUGAGCCAAGGGAUUGAAAGGGACCAACCAAGGGAGGUUAAGAAGGGAAGUGAGGCAGCAGGCAAGCAGCACCAAGUUGCUGUGUAAACAGGUGAGUUGUGUUGAGGUUCCUAAGGCAGGCACUGAGGACUUUGAGGGCUCCAGACAGAGCAGACCUGGGAAGGCCCUCGGUGAAGCCCCUUGGAAACCUUCUAAGGGUAGGUGUGUAUGGUAAUGAGUGUUGGAAAAUGUCCUGUAUGUGGAACAGGAAUGCAGGGAAGGAAAAUGAAUCCUCCUGUAAUGCUGCCAUAUCAGCUGCAGUGGAGAUAGCUCUGUGUGCCCUUUGGGAGCUUAUUGCCAGGACUCGUAGUGGGCUGGAAUGAUUCAAGAGCGUAGGAAUAAAAGAUUGCCUGGCUUCUAAAACUCAUCAAUUGAGUCUCAGAGGUUCUUGUAUGAAAUUUUAGGUAACACCUGAACUUUUGUGUGUACUUCUGAGUUCAGCUGGAAAGAGAUUGUCCAGGGAAGAGGAAUCUUGCUCAGUGCAAGAAGUUGCACUUGGUGAACUUCCCAUCUGAGCUGAUGCCCUUGGCAGGAGAAGUGCUAAGCAAGGAGGCUCUUUGCUCCUAGGCAGGAAGAAAGGUCAGUGCCCUUCCUCCCCAAGGCCCAGCCCAGCAGGGCUGGCAGGAGCUGCUGGUGUGGCUGCUCUUUGGGUUCUCAGCUGUGCCCGUGGGGUGGUGACAUUGUGUUCCUGCCUGUGCUCCAGGGCAGCCAAAAGCCCCAGCCCAGCCCCUGGGCCUUUCUGGGAGCCUGAGCUAUUGCAGUACUGGGGAUGGGGGUUUGGGUUUUUGUUUCCCUAAAAGUAGAACCAUUGGGGGGGAUCUCUUAUCUCACAGUUGUUGUUGUUUUGAUAUCUUAAUUAAUUACAACUUGAGAAGAAAAGCUUUUGUAACUUAGCAACUGACUUGCACUGGUUACACUGAAAGUGCCAAGGAGUUGUAGUGUCCACUGGAUUGUUUGUAUUGAAGCAGUUUGGUGUUUACAGAGGGAUAAUAACUCCUGUCAGCAGCAAGGUCCCGACUGAAGUGGCAGCUGCAGUUGUUCCUGUGGUGUGGGCCAGUGGAAUUCCAAGAAAAUGGACAAGGACAGAACCUGCAGAAGAGCCCAGGCCUGAGCUGGCUGAGUGUUGGUGUGAGCCAGAGUGGGUGUCCCUGCCCUCGGGCCAGUCCCCAGAGCUGCCUUUGGCAUCCCCUGCUGAAGGGUGGGAGCUGCCCAGAGCCAGCAGCAUCCAGCUGGAGGAUGCAGGAGGAUGCAGCUCUGCUUUGCUGGGAGGUAAGAGGUGGGGUGCAGGAGCUGGCAGGGGUGUUUUGCAGGCAGAGGGAGGGCAGGAGCAGGAGAAUUGCAGGUGCAGCAGCUGGGUCAGUGCUGGAUGGAGUCGGGGCUGGGAAAGGGCCCUGAGUGUCAGGGCAGGGGAGAGCCCAGGGUGGCCCUGGGAGCCCUGGGGCUGUGAACAAGUGCAGUGGGCAAAGGAAUGGGCACUGGAGAGCUGGGCAAACAGCUGGAGGAGUUGCAAGGGGAACCAGGAGACUGGAAUGCAGGAACAGCAGCAACUCCCUGUGUGUGUGUAGAACCAGGUGUACUGCAGCCCUGAGUGAGGUGGGAAAUGAACCUCAGGAGGCUGGGAACGAGUCCCACACACUGGUUAAAGUGGGAUGGACUCUUGCCAAGUGUCUGAAAAGCUUUUCUUCAGUGUUGCUUUAUCAGUUGAACACUGAAGUGUUUUUCAAGGUGUUGGCAGUUGUUUUCCUGUGUUUUUGGUGAGGUGUUGACUCAGUACCUUUCUUGGAGCUGCUGUUGGAUGAAGAGGUGCCCCCAAUUGACCUGUAAGGUCCUUGUUUUUCUUCCCUGCUUC